UACGUAGGGUGCGAGCGUUGUCCGGAAUUAUUGGGCGUAAAGAGCUUGUAGGCGGUUUGUCGCGUCUGCUGUGAAAAUCCGGGGCUCAACCCCGGACUUGCAGUGGGUACGGGCAGACUAGAGCGUGGUAGGGGAGACUGGAAUUCCUGGUGUAGCGGUGAAAUGCGCAGAUAUCAGGAGGAACACCGAUGGCGAAGGCAGGUCUCUGGGCCACUACUGACGCUGAGAAGCGAAAGCAUGGGGAGCGAACAGGAUUAGAUA
rnacentral:rRNA from 1 species